rnacentral:rRNA from 1 species
CCUACGGGAGGCAGCAGUGAGGAAUAUUGGUCAAUGGACGAGAGUCUGAACCAGCCAAGUAGCGUGAAGGAUGACUGCCCUAUGGGUUGUAAACUUCUUUUAUAUGGGAAUAAAAUGUUCCACGUGUGGGAUUUUGUAUGUACCAUAUGAAUAAGGAUCGGCUAACUCCGUGCCAGCAGCCGCGGUACUACGGAGUAUCCGAGCGUUAUCCUGAUUUAUUGGGUUUAAAGGGAGCGUAGGUGGAUUGUUAAGUCAGUUGUGAAAGUUUGCGGCUCAACCGUAAAAUUGCAGUUGAAACUGGCAGUCUUGAGUACAGUAGAGGUGGGCGGAAUUCGUGGUGUAGCGGUGAAAUGCUUAGAUAUCACGAAGAACUCCGAUUGCGAAGGCAGUUCACUGGACUGCAACUGACACUGAGGCUCGAAAGUGUGGGUAUCAAACAGGAUUAGAUACCCUAGUAGUC